UACGUAGGGUGCGAGCGUUGUCCGGAAUUAUUGGGCGUAAAGAGCUCGUAGGCGGCUUGUCGCGUCGGAUGUGAAAAGCCCGGGGCUUAACUCCGGGUCUGCAUUCGAUACGGGCAGGCUAGAGUUCGGUAGGGGAGAUCGGAAUUCCUGGUGUAGCGGUGAAAUGCGCAGAUAUCAGGAGGAACACCGGUGGCGAAGGCGGAUCUCUGGGCCGAUACUGACGCUGAGGAGCGAAAGCGUGGGGAGCGAACAGG
rnacentral:rRNA from 1 species